GUUGGGGUAGCUCAGCUGGUAGAGCAUGAGAGUCUUAAUCUCAGGGUUGUGGGUACAGGUCCCAUGUUGGGCAACA